rnacentral:rRNA from 1 species
UAGUCCACGCCGUAAACGAUGUCUACUAGCCGUUGGGACCCUUGAGGUUUUAGUGGCGCAGCUAACGCAAUAAGUAGACCGCCUGGGGAGUACGGUCGCAAGAUUAAAACUCAAAUGAAUUGACGGGGGCCCGCACAAGCGGUGGAGCAUGUGGUUUAAUUCGAGGCAACGCGAAGAACCUUACCAAGACUUGACAUCCUGAUAACUUUCUAGAGAUAGAUUGGUGCCUUCGGGAAAUCAGAGACAGGUGCUGCAUGGCUGUCGUCAGCUCGUGUCGUGAGAUGUUGGGUUAAGUCCCGUAACGAGCGCAACCCCUAUCUCUAGUUGCCAGCGAGUCAAGUCGGGGACUCUAGAGAGACUGCCUGUGUAAGCAGUGAGGAAGGAGGGGACGACGUCAAAUCAUCAUGGCCUUUAUGCCUAGGGCUACACACGUGCUACAAUGGUGUUGACAAAGGGUAGCCAACCUGCGAAGGUGAGCCAAUCCCAAAACAGCAUCUC